AAUUUGUCCAGUAUAGAGAGCCGCGAGUGUCAACAGAUUGCUUUUAUUACGUGAAUUACGUAGCUGAUGAGGCAGCCGGAGCCACGCGAAGGUAAUGGCGCCUUUAGAUUACAUUUCGAGUGGAAUCGCCGACGCACAUCCGCCCUCAGAUGUAAUUGGUCAUUCACUUCGCUGGAUUCUGAGCGAUCUCACGAUGUAUGGGAACGUCAACUUGAUUCAGUCGAACGUUUCCGAUUAGUCUAGCUGAUUCGUUGCGUAACCGAUACACUUAAAUAUAAUGCGAAGAAAAACCACCAAGAAGCUUUAGGAUCACUAUCCGGUAUGGCAUAUGCGGAGUGCGGACAGUGCAAAAAACGAGAAUAUCCGAUAAAAAAAUCUAGUGUUUCCAUCCUUUUAAUCAAUAAGGUACUAAGAACGAGCUCCUACAGAUAAAACCGGAGUGCACGUAUAAAAAAGCCUUUCUGCAUUUAUUCGUGGCGCGUUUAAAAAGCAAUGCAGUAGUGGACGCAUAGUGGCCGCAGUUUUGUGCGCACUGGUCCAUCAUAAAAAGCAAUACCUCUAUAUUCCGUGAACGCUCUAAGACAUCCAUAUUAUUCACAGCAAGUACAUUUAGAUACGAAACAAUGCGUAACUUACGUUCAAGAACGCGUAAUUAAACCAUAGAACCGGCUCGUUCAUGAUCGGAUGGCUAUUCAUCGUAAAUGAGGUCCUUGCGGAGACGUGUGCUAUUUCACUACCUAAUGGAAACGUUAUCGGGGUGCCAGCCUAGAAAAUUAUUUAUACACCCUGGACUUAGCUUCCCAGCUGUGCUGAUAAGUUUGAAGGGAACCUCGACUCGGUUGUGUGCGCCGUGUGCUGGGACGCUAACAGCUGGGAUAUCCUUGUGUGGAGAGCGAACGACUGGUUACUAUGAACCCCGCCGCGCCGUACAGCGUCGCACUCGAUUACAAAAACACUCCUCGAUAAGAUACCGAGUACCGACGCAGGAUGUGAUUCGACACUUUAAUGAAUUACGCGGCGCGGGUGUAAACCGUUAAUUAAGGGGAACAACGAAGAGGAGGGUGGAAAUACAAAUUAAUUUGAAACAAACGGACAUUCAGACAGGAUUAGAAUGGCCAAACUUUUCAUAUUAUGCGAGCCUUGUUAAGUUUAAAUUCAAUUAAACUAAUUUCUUUGGUCGUAUUCAAAUGAACAAUUCGGAAAUAUUUAAGUCCCUGUAACUGUUCCUUCUCGAAACUGUAAAAGAGGGUACUAAAAAGUUAUUUUAAAUUGGUUUUGUGUCAUUAAUACUAUUUGAGAAUUAAACAAAUAGCUACGCGAAAUAGAGCAAGAUGAUAUAUAUUUUCUAAAACUUAUUCACCUUUACCCUUAUUGACCCACGUACCGCUGUAACCGUUUCUCAACUAACCCUAUAUCUAAGUACAAAUAUACUUGUAGAGUAACUAAUGAGGCUAUUUCAACACGUAAUGUAAUAUAAUUGA